UUGCUUCCCCCCCCCAUAUCUUCUUGUCCAUUUCUCUGACUCUCCAUAUAGUUUUUCUUUCCUGAUAUUUUUUGUUAUAUAAUGUCUAGCAUAUCUCCUCUGCUGGUCAUCCUUGUCUUUAGCACGUACUUUACUCUUUUACAACUUCCCAUUCUCUUCUUCUUUCCCCCUCUUUCUAUAUGCCUUUAUUAUCUUUCUCAGUCCCAUAUUUAAUAUUGUUACCCUAUAUGUCUUUCCCCUAAAAACACAUGUACCAUUCUUUCCCUACCUCCACAUAUCUCAACAAUGUCAUUCCCACUUGCCAGGAACUGGAUUGCUGACAGAUGCAGAUCAUUUCUGCUGAAUCCCAGAACAGCUGUGUGGUGAUGGAAUAGGCUGGAACGAUGCACAGUUAUACUUACCCUAACCUGGAAGUAAGUUAGGCAUCUCUCUGCUCCAGAUCUUGGUGUCAAGAUUUUAGCUUUUUCUUGCAGCUCCUGGUCCUGGUUUCCCUUCAGUGCUUCCCAGCUUGGAAUCAGCUUCCUGAGUCUGUCCCAGCACGUUCUUGCCUACAGUGCAUUUUCACUCAGUCAAGCUCCAUUACUAGGAAGUUCCAGCCAUAGCAACAGCUUCCAAUUACAGAUACCAGCUCUUCAAGCAACAGCUCCAGUCACAGAAACCAGUCCUUCAAGCCACAGCAACAGCUUCCAGCCAUAGCAACCAGCUCUUCAGCCAUAGCAACAGCUUCCAGCCACAGCAACGGUUACACAUUCUUUCUUCUACCAAUGAUAAGCAGAGAGAAGAAACGGAAGCCUACUCUACUUCACUAAGAUGGCACCUGCGUGAAUGCUUAUGCGAGCCGAAACAGAAGAUGGAUUCCACGCUAUAGGAAUAGGAAAUCCCACAUAUGUGGCCCGAAGAUGCCCUGCGAAGUUUGAAAAUAUAUGUAACCCGUGGCUAGACAUAAACCUGUGGAGAUUCCAGACUAAAAUCUGCCCCUUGGCAGGACAGAGAUUAGCCCUUCUCCCCCUGUACACAUCCUCUGCCCCCAAGAUUGGGGGACAUGAUGAUAGUAAUAUGUUUUCAGAGCAAGUUAGGUGUGGUACUGUACCCUUGUAUACUGAGAAACUGUGAAGCUAUGUAUUAUAACUCAAUUUUGCUUGUGAACCAUGUUAUGUUUUGUUUGUUGUUUUAAUCCCCUUGUAUCCCCUUCCCUGGAUAAUUGAAAAAAAACUCACUACAUUGAUAAGUGAAAGUGAGGAGCUGCACAAGGGAGGGGCCUCGGCCCCCUUGGCGGGUCCCGACGCCUAUGCCUACAGGCCUAUGACCACUUCCUGCCACACAUUUAACAUAGUGCCUGGUUAGGGGUGAAUCUUCCUCUUUGGCUUCUGGUUGCUCACCCAGUUGGAUCUGUUCCAGGGAGCCUGGGUACACCAAGGCCCAGUAAAGCUAUUCUGCCCUAGAGGGACCUAUACAUCUAGGGAUGAGUCAGGGAGCAGGGACCCUGCAAAUGAGGCUUAGCCAGAGAUAGGUUAACUCUUUAAUAGUACUCUCUAGGAGAGUAAGAUAGUGAGGUUAAAUAGCACAAGAAGCCUGUGCUCCAACCAGGAUUGUAGUAGGGAGUAACUGUCCCAAAGGCUCUGAGUUUGCCUAUAGUGAAGGGGCCACAGCUGGAUAGGGUGUCAGGUUUUAGAUUUAUUCUCCCUGAUUAUUCCACUGUAUGGUAAACGGACUAUGCCCGGGUAUUAAAUCCUAGAGCUGUACCUUAACUACAUCCACAUGGUGCCACAUUGCGCUGUCUCUGCCUAACUGUCAUGGCAUAUUUAACAUCUGCCAUAUGUCUCUGUGGAUCUGUGAGUAUAACCCUGUGGAACUAUUGUCUUGGACAAUAAAAGUUAACCUGUUUGCUGCAAGGACCUCCUGGCAUCCUUUAUUUUAUUUUUAAGCACAGUAGCCAAUGCAAGUUGUAGUUUAACUGCACCUUUCAUUCCUAACUUCCACAUAGUGAAGGUCCUGCCUUGUGUGUUAGAGCCAAGUGUAACCCUUGCUCUACUGUUUAGCCCAAAGUAGCGUUACAUAUGAUUUACAUUACAGAUAUUACCUUUGUAAAAUGCAUGCAUUCAUAUUGUACAUGGUUAUGAUGUUUGCUUCGCAUUGGGUACAACAUGGUUUGGAACACUGGAUAGUCUCUAUAUGAACAGUAUCCUGUUGCAAUAUUACUGAAUUUUUUUUAUCUGUUCUAUUUGGACAUUUAAAUUUACUCUUUUUGAUUGGAGGAGACACACUCCUGUGGAUGAACUUUGUCCUGGACUAUCAUUGGAUGAAGCCACAUCUUUAUGUGGAUUGGAUCUAAGAGGGACACUUGGGAAUUAUAGUUUCCCUCAUGAUGGUGUCAUGGAAGAGGUGGGUCUGAGGGUAUUUUAGUCUUCCCUGAAACAUGUUGUGUGAAAUGGCACAAUAAAAGCACAUUCACAAGGAAUGAUUUCCUGCUGUUGAGCCUUUGUGUUCCUAUGAACUUUUAUCAUUUAAUCUUGCAAAUAUAUUGAAAUCAUCAUACGAGCUAGAGGUUGUGGUAGCUUUUUUGUUUGCAGUCUAUUGAAUGGGACAGGGGAUGCAAGAGUUUAUUUCCAGAA